AUGGCAGAAGACAUGAAGGUCAAAAUUAAGAACUACAGGACUGUCCCAUUUGACAGCCACUUUGUCAACUAGAACCAGAACAUGAACUGCUGGCAAAACUACCUGGACUUCUACCACUCCAAGACGGCAAUGACUGCUAAAGGGGGUGAUGUCUCUGUGUGCAAAUGGUACUGGCAUGUGUGCAAGUCCCUCUGCCCCAUAUCCUUGGUCUUGACCUGGGACAAAGGCACGUUUCCUGGGAAAAUCAGA
rnacentral:lncRNA from 1 species